GGUGAGUAAUACUUANGAAUCUGCCUAUUAAUGGGGGACAACAUCUCGAAGGGGAUGCUGAUACCGCAUACGCCCUACGGGGGAAAGCAGGGGAUNACUUGUGACCUUGCGUUAAUAGAUGAGCCUAAGUCGGAUUAGCUAGUUGGUGGGGUAAAGGCCUACCAAGGCGACGAUCUGUAGCGGGUCUGAGAGGAUGAUCCGCCACACUGGGACUGAGACACGGCCCAGACUCCUACGGGAGGCAGCAGUGGGGAAUAUUGGACAAUGGGGGGAACCCUGAUCCAGCCAUGCCGCGUGUGUGAAGAAGGCCUUAUGGUUGUAAAGCACUUUAAGCGAGGAGGAGGCUCUCUUGGUUAAUACCCAAGAUGAGUGGACGUUACUCGCAGAAUAAGCACCGGCUAACUCUGUGCCAGCAGCCGCGGUAAUACAGAGGGUGCGAGCGUUAAUCGGAUUUACUGGGCGUAAAGCGUGCGUAGGCGGCUUUUUAAGUCGGAUGUGAAAUCCCCGAGCUUAACUUGGGAAUUGCAUUCGAUACUGGGAAGCUAGAGUAUGGGAGAGGAUGGUAGAAUUCCAGGUGUAGCGGUGAAAUGCGUAGAGAUCUGGAGGAAUACCGAUGGCGAAGGCAGCCAUCUGGCCUAAUACUGACGCUGAGGUACGAAAGCAUGGGGAGCAAACAGGAUUAGAUACCCUGGUAGUCCAUGCCGUAAACGAUGUCUACUAGCCGUUGGGGCCUUUGANGCUUUAGUGGCGCAGCUNACGCGAUAAGUAGACCGCCUGGGGAGUACGGUCGCAAGACUAAAACUCAAAUGANUUGACGGGGGCCCGCACAAGCGGUGG
rnacentral:rRNA from 1 species